CUCAGCCCCAACAGUGCGGUGGACACAAUCUUCUGUGUUUAUAAAUAAAUGAUGCACCGCAUAAUGUGGUGCCGAUUUCAAUUUCAUGGGCCACGGUUUGUUGACCUCUUUGUUGAGUUUGCAAUACAUUAAAGGUAGAAAACUACUAAUCGACAAAAAUCAUUCAAGUGUUAAACGUCAUUGGACUUAGACCGUUCUUGUUCUUAUCUCACCCUUUGCCAAGCAACCAAGAUUGUUCCGCCAGCAAGCACCAACAAAAGUGCUUGAAGAGUUGUCAACGAGAGGUGAAGACAAAGAAUGAUAUGUACUAUAAAGUCUUGCCUGGAGAAACCCCCUUCAUUGAAAAUCAUCAGUAAGUCCUCCAACACCACGAUCAAACCUCCAACACGAUCAAAGGUGAGAAGAUCCCCUACGGUACCUUCGGAGAUUGUUACAGCACUCUGACUGUCCUCAAUGUCGCUUCUCCGUGUAUUAGUCAGACGAAAGGGUUUUAUUGAGUCAGGAUGUUGUUCAAGAGGCAAGUUAGAAGAAUUUUCUGAGCAUGGGAAUUCAGAUCUAAGAAGAAAAGGAGGUGCCAAUGUAAUGAUUGUAUAGGAAUUAUAAAGAAAUUCAACUGUACAAAAAGGCACGAGUGAACGAUGAUUAAUACCGAGGGAAUUGGGAACAAAAUUGCCAGUAUUUAUUGCUACAAAAUGGAUACUUCUAAACCAAAAGAUUUCACUACUUCAUAACCAAGCAUCACGAAUUUUGCUGAAUUCUACGACAAACGGUAGUACCAAAACUAAUGAAUAAUAUUUUUAGUUUGAUUGACUUGUUGACACGCCCCUACAAGGAACGACGUGAUAAUUAUCACUGUGACAUAAUUGGAAGGUCUUGGUCAACAUCACUUCAUUGGAAAUCAUCAAUGCUGAUUUCACCUUCUGCAACAUGAGCAAAGGUGCGAAGAUCCCCUACGGUACUUCCGGAGAUUGUUACAGUACACUCUCUGAUUGUUCUCAAUGUCGCUUCUCCAUGUAUUAGUCAGACGAAAGGUUUUUAUUGAGUCAGGAUGUUGUGCAAGAGACAAGUAGAAGAAUGUUCUAUGCAUGGGAAUUCAGAUCUAAGAAUAAAAGGAAGUGCCCAAGGAAGCCAUGUUUCUAGAGAAAUCCCUACGGUAUCUCCGGAGAUUAUUACAGUACUCUGUCUGACUGUCCUCAAUGUCGUUUCUCCAUGUAUUAAUCAGACGAAAGGUUUUUAUUAAGUCAGGAUGUUGUGCAAGAGGUUUCUGGAGUAAUUGUAAAUAACUCCAACUGUACAAAAAGGCACGAGUGAAUGAUGAUUAUAUCAUGAGAAUUGGGAACAAACUUUCCAGUAUUUAUUCCUUUAAAAUGGAUACUUCUAAACCAAAAGAGUUCACUACUUUAUAACCAGGCAUCACGAAUUUUGGAGAAUUCUACGCCAAACGGUUGAUUAACUUAUCGACACGCCCCUACAAAGACCGACGUGGUAAUUAUCACUGUAACAUGAUUGGAAGGUCUGGCUCAACUUCAUUGAAAAUCAUCAACACUGAUUUCACCUUUUCCAACAUGAUCAAAGGUACGAAGAUCCCCUACGGUACCUCCGGCGAUUGUUACAGUAGUCUGCCUGACUGUCCUCAAUGUCGCUACUCCAUAUAUUAGACAGACGCAAGGUUUUUAUUGAGUCAGAAUGUUGAACAAGAGGAAAGUUGGAAGAAUGUUCUGAGCAUGGGAAUUCAGACUUAAGAGGAAAAGGAGGUGCCAAUGUAAUGUUUGUAUAGAAAUUGUGAAGAGAUCUAACUGUACAAAAAGGCACGAGUGAAUGAUGAUUAAUACCGUGAGAAUUGGGAACAAACUUGCCACUAUUGAUUGCUAUAAGAUGGAUAUUUCCAAACCAUUUACUUUACAACCAGACAUGACGAAAUGUGAUGAAUUCUACGACGAACGAUUGAUAGACUUGUCUACACACCCCUAUAACAAGGAACGACGUGAUAAUUAUCACUAUGUUGUGAUUGGAAGGUCUAACUCAACAUCACUUCAUUAAAAAUCAUCAAUGCUGAUUUCACCUUCUCCAACAUGAUCAAAGGUACGAAGAUCCCCUACGGUACGGCAAAGACUGUUUUAAUACACAAUUUUAUUUUGUUUCUACUUUAUAAAUAUUCUUUGUUUAUUUCGAUUCUGUUUGCUGUUCAUUCUAUUAACACUAAUUUUUUUAUAUCUAGAAUUGUUAAAAAUUAAUAUAAAAAAUAUUUUAUUUGUUCCAUUUUAUUAAAUAAAUCAAUGUAUAAAAUAUUUCACAAAAACGCAAAUUACAUUUAUUUAAUCUUUUGAAUUGUAAUCUGUAAAGGCAGUAUUAAAUAAAAAUAUAUAUUUAA